CGCCCCGCAACCCCACACUGCCCUCGGAGCCACCGGUUCGAGUCCCGCGCCCGCGCCCCGCCCGGCUGAGAUGCCAACGCUCCAGUGAGCAGAGACAGCCACGGGGAGAGCACUGGAACACAUGGAAUAGAGGAGGAGAGUCCCUGGCGCGGUGUCUCCGAGCAGGACCCGGGCCAGCCCGAGGCAGAGACAGGAGCCGGACAUGCCAGAGCCAGCCCCGCCCGGCGGGGACAGGAGAGCGGCGGAGAAGAAGCGGGUGGAGAAGGUGGGAGCCAAGGGCAGCGCUGCAGGGC